UCGAACGGUGAAGCGAGAGCUUGCUCUCGUGGAUCAGUGGCGAACGGGUGAGUAACACGUGAGUAACCUGCCCCAGACUCUGGGAUAAGCCUUGGAAACGAGGUCUAAUACCGGAUACGAGACGAGAUCGCAUGGUCAUCGUCUGGAAAGAAUUUCGGUCUGGGAUGGACUCGCGGCCUAUCAGCUUGUUGGUGAGGUAAUGGCUCACCAAGGCGACGACGGGUAGCCGGCCUGAGAGGGCGACCGGCCACACUGGAACUGAGACACGGUCCAGACUCCUACGGGAGGCAGCAGUGGGGAAUAUUGCACAAUGGGCGCAAGCCUGAUGCAGCGACGCCGCGUGGGGGAUGAAGGCCUUCGGGUUGUAAACCCCUUUCAGCAGGGAAGAAGCGAAAGUGACGGUACCUGCAGAAGAAGCGCCGGCUAACUACGUGCCAGCAGCCGCGGUAAUACGUAGGGCGCAAGCGUUGUCCGGAAUUAUUGGGCGUAAAGAGCUCGUAGGCGGUCUGUCGCGUCUGCUGUGAAAACCCGAGGCUCAACCUCGGGCCUGCAGUGGGUACGGGCAGACUAGAGUGUGGUAGGGGAGACUGGAAUUCCUGGUGUAGCGGUGGAAUGCGCAGAUAUCAGGAGGAACACCAAUGGCGAAGGCAGGUCUCUGGGCCACUACUGACGCUGAGGAGCGAAAGCAUGGGGAGCGAACAGGAUUAGAUACCCUGGUAGUCCAUGCCGUAAACGGUGGGCACUAGAUGUGGGGCUCUU
rnacentral:rRNA from 1 species